rnacentral:lncRNA from 1 species
UGAAAACGCAACACUUUUGUUUUUAAAAAAAUUCUUAUAAUUUUUAUUUUAUUUAUAUAAGAACUUUGUAUAGUUGGUUGAAAAUGACUUUUAAGACAAUUGUUGACAAUUUUACGGUUGAGUGAUUUUUGGAACAAAUGCGAAGUAAGGGUUAUUUUGAACGGACAUAAACCGAGUUCACCGCUUUUCAACAUACCCACCAUUUUCACGAUUUUGUCAUUUAAAGCUUGGCUCAUGUCAUGAAUUUUCCCGCCCUUAUUGUUAACAAACUGCAAUAAACAUCUGAGUAAAUGCCAGGACUUUCUGACAACCAGCGACAUGCAGUUUUGGGCAUGAUCCAAUGAAGCCUUUCACAGCAUACAAUUACGAGAAGACUGAACUUGUAGCCUCUACAAUAACCCAAAUCAUCCACAAAUUCAACCAAAAUGAAUCAUUUAAUGAUAAGCCACAUCCCGGGAUAUAAAAACAAGAAACGCUCAGCAAGACCGAUACAUUUGGUCUUUAACAUAUCCGAUAUCGACUCUGAUGGCUGUUCAAAGGUCACGAGAGGUCAAUGGUGGUCACGGUAGAACCUUUGGAGCAAUUUCAGUAAAGCACCAUUUGCGCAGAAAUUGUUAAAGAGCACCACAGUCUUUCCUUAGUGACAUCUAAACGGCCGUCUGGCGUAAACAUCGAAUUCUGUAGACCAAAAAUCAUUCAUUAUGUACCAAAAAC